rnacentral:rRNA from 1 species
CACGUAGGGGGCGAGCGUUGUCCGGAAUCAUUGGGCGUAAAGAGCUCGUAGGCGGCUCGGUAAGUCGGGUGUGAAACCCCCAGGCUCAACCUGGGGACGCCACCCGAUACUGCUGUGGCUAGAGUCCAGUAGGGGAGUGUGGAAUUCCUGGUGUAGCGGUGAAAUGCGCAGAUAUCAGGAGGAACACCAAUGGCGAAGGCAGCUCGCUGGAACGGUACUGACGCUGAGGCGCGAAAGCGUGGGGAGCGAACAGG